rnacentral:rRNA from 1 species
GACGGGGGAUGCAAGCGUUAUCCGGAAUCACUGGGCGUAAAGCGUCUGUAGGCGGUGGUGCAAGUCACUGGUGCAAAACUCUGGCUCAACCGGAGGAAAGCCAGUGAAACUGCAUGACUAGAGUGUGGGAGAGGUAGAAGGAAUUCCCUGAGUAGCGGUGAAAUGCGUAGAUACAGGGAAGAACACCGGAGGCGAAAGCGUUCUACUGGAACACAACUGACACUGAGAGAAGAAAGCUAGGGGAGCGAAUGGG